UUACAAAUUUUAAAUUUAAUUUUACAAUGAAAAUGUAAUGUUUUUUUUUAAACUAUGAAAAUAGAA
rnacentral:tRNA from 1 species